rnacentral:tRNA from 1 species
GUCCUAGUAGCUUAGAUUUAAAGCAUUGGCCUUGUAAACCAAAGUCGGAUUUUCCCCUAGAACA